AAAAUCCACCUGCGUGGCGCACCGCGUUACUCGGGGGUGGAAAAAGAAAAUGGAAUUAUCAUUAAAAGAAGAAGCAGACAUCAAGUUCAGCCUUUUACUACGGGGUCGGAGGGUAGCGCCGUUUUCUACCCUUUUUCUUCGCUCGAUCUGCCCUGCAAAAGUAGAAGAAGAAGUGAGUGCGUCUAGGAGGCCAUAAACCGACAGCUGUCUCGGCGUAUAUUAAUCACCGAUGGCCUGCAAACCCAAACCUCACAAUAAACUGGAAUUUGACUCAACUUCGAGGGGUCGUCGGUUGCGAUCCGGAAUCCGGGGGUGUACGUCUGUAAUGCGGAUCCGCAACGAUACGAACGAGGAGAAAUUAGAAACCCGGAACCAACGAGGAUCUUUUUCGUCAACCGGUGGUGCCUGGCUCGCUUUGGAAAAAAAAAUCGUUAUCCAUAAACCGAUGAUAUACGUAGAAAUGGAAAUCGCGAGAGGAACUGGGCCGGUCAGUAGAAAAAUUUCGCCGUCUACACGGACACCUUAUGUAUACAUACACGUACCCUUAUUUACAUAUGCAUAACACAUAACGGUAUGUAAUCAUACGUGCAUUAUAUAUAUCUAGUCAGGUAUAGGUAUAAUAAUGUUGCCAGCGGAAAAUCGCGGCUGUUGGUGAAGUUUGAGCGAUUGUCGGGUUAUCGCGAGAGGGCAGGGACUGCAUAGGGGGAGGUAGGAACGGAAUGGGAUAGGAAGGAAGGAAAGAAGGAAGGAAGAAAGGGAAAAAGGACGAGGGUGCAGGAAACCGGUGGAAAGGGGCAACGCGAAUAGCGGCGACGUCGAUUAAACGGAUUUACAAAGCCGGACGCAGGUCGAAUAUCCCCAUUCGCUGCCGUUGCUGCCUAUGCCACUUUCGAUCUAUCCGUAGGGAUAUGUGCGACGUAUGUAGUACGUAGUACGUAUGUAACACGGUCCGAGAGGAAAUGAAAGGAAGCGACGGUGGGAGCAGCGGCAUUCCGCAUUUGUUGUUUAUCGUAUGUUUGUUGUUGUUUUUUUUCUCUGAUCUUCCGAGUUUCUCAACGUUCGUCGUGUUUUCGAAAAAAUUCGAAAGGACGGAGUUUCGGAAUUAGGAAGGUGUUUCAAUGGAACAAUAUUUAUUUUGUCAUAUUCCCACAAGCGUAUGGAAUUUUAUACGUAUAUCCCGAAGUGGGGACGAUUAUUUAUUAAUAGCUUGAAAUUUUAAUGGGGAGAUCCGCGUACCGUGCAUGGCAGGGUGUCGCGAAAAUUAGUGACAUCGCUUCGAGCGUAUCAAUUAAGA